rnacentral:tRNA from 1 species
UCCCUGGUAUCUCAGCUGGUAAAGAAUCUGCCUGCAAUGCAGGAGGCCUGAGUUUGAUCCCUAGGUUGGGAA